rnacentral:rRNA from 1 species
AACGGCAGCACGGACUUCGGUCUGGUGGCGAGUGGCGAACGGGUGAGUAAUACAUCGGAACGUGCCUAGUAGUGGGGGAUAACUACUCGAAAGAGUGGCUAAUACCGCAUGAGAUCUACGGAUGAAAGCAGGGGAUCGCAAGACCUUGUGCUACUAGAGCGGCCGAUGGCAGAUUAGGUAGUUGGUGGGAUAAAAGCUUACCAAGCCAACGAUCUGUAGCUGGUCUGAGAGGACGAUCAGCCACACUGGGACUGAGACACGGCCCAGACUCCUACGGGAGGCAGCAGUGGGGAAUUUUGGACAAUGGGCGAAAGCCUGAUCCAGCAAUGCCGCGUGCAGGAUGAAGGCCUUCGGGUUGUAAACUGCUUUUGUACGGAACGAAAAGCUUCGGGUUAAUACCCUGGAGUCAUGACGGUACCGUAAGAAUAAGCACCGGCUAACUACGUGCCAGCAGCCGCGGUAAUACGUAGGGUGCAAGCGUUAAUCGGAAUUACUGGGCGUAAAGCGUGCGCAGGCGGUUUUGUAAGACAGAGGUGAAAUCCCCGGGCUCA